rnacentral:rRNA from 1 species
UACGGAGGGGACUAGCGUUGUCCGGAAUUAUUGGGCGUAAAGAGCUCGUAGGCGGCUUGUCACGUCGGGUGUGAAAGCCCGGGGCUUAACCCCGGGUCUGCAUUCGAUACGGGCUAGCUAGAGUGUGGUAGGGGAGAUCGGAAUUCCUGGUGUAGCGGUGAAAUGCGCAGAUAUCAGGAGGAACACCGGUGGCGAAGGCGGAUCUCUGGGCCAUUACUGACGCUGAGGAGCGAAAGCGUGGGGAGCGAACAGG